AAUAACUCUACCUUUUAUUCAUGGUUGCUAUCAUUUUCCAUCUUUACCAUUGAUCAUGGAAGGACUAACAGGCAUCCCAAAAGAUCCCCUAAGUUUCAGACAUAGUACUCUUUGCCUUCUUUGUAUAGCAAUUACUCAGUUUCCCCUGAUACAUCACUGUAGCCAGAACUGUAAUAACCCCUUUCUCUUCCUGUUGGUUUAGUGGCAUAAGGAGCUCACCAUGGCCAGAUGGCAGUCUCAUCUUUCAGUUCAGUGGAACCAUUCUUAUGUCGUCUGGUAGAAGCAUUCCUCUGGCGCUUGGGAACUUAGGCUAUAAAUCAUCACCACUCAGAGUUUCUACAACGUGAAACAAAAUUAUACAAGUUGGUUACUAGAUAUAAUAGAAGAACCACUGAAUGUCCAGAUCCAUGUAUUCUAGCAGUGAGGUACAUAGCACCAUAUAGUAGCUUAUCAUUCAAAGCUUAUACUGAAGCCUAUAAAGACAGAACCCCAGUCUUUUGGGGUAUUAUUUCCCAAGUGGUGGUAAAUUAGUCUUCAGUAAGCCAUUUGACUUUCUGUUAGCAUCUUUAUCUGUGAUAAAACCAGAUAAUUACAUGGACAUAAGACUAAUCCUAUACAUCCUUCACUGUGCAAUGAGUUCCUUGAUCAAAGUAUGGAAUACUGUGAUGAUGAUUUAAGGACUUUCACGGAUGGUGGAGCAAGCAGAAGCAUUACAGGCAGA
rnacentral:lncRNA from 1 species